rnacentral:rRNA from 1 species
AGGACGAACGCUGGCGGCGUGCUUAACACAUGCAAGUUGAACGGUAUGACAUGGAAGCUGCUGAAGUGUCAUAUAGUAGCGGACGGGUGAGUAAUGCAUGAGAAGCUGCCAUUGGGAGGGGGACAACAGUUGGAAACGGCUGCUAAUACCCCGUAUGCCGGAAGGUGAAAGGGAGCGAUCCGCCCGAUGAGGUGCUCAUGUCCUAUCAGCUGGUUGGUGGGGUAACGGCCUACCAAGGCGACGACGGGUAGCCGGCCUGAGAGGGUGAACGGCCACACUGGAACUGAGAUACGGUCCAGACUCCUACGGGAGGCAGCAGUGGGGAAUAUUUGGGGCAAUGGGGGCAACCCUGACCCAGCGACGCCGCGUGGGGGAAGACGGCCUUCGGGUUGUAAACCUCUUUUGUACGGGAAGGAGGAAGUGACGGUACUGUACGAAUAAGUCCCGGCUAACUACGUGCCAGCCGCCGC